GCGGCCGUGCGGUGCGAGGGGCGGGCGGUGCGUGUGGCGCUGGUGGCGGCGGGACAGCGACAGGGACCGUGUGCUUUUGUUCUUCUUUGCCUGAAUUCUCUUGGUGGAAAAGCCUCUAGCAGUCCCAGGGUUAUCUCUUCCCUGAAGCCAUUACAAACUUCAGCUUUAUAGCAGGCAGGCACAAAUGCAUGUAGCACUGGAUCUUUAAAUGACCUUUGAUAUCUAAGAGACUAGCAGAAAUUAAUUCUGGUUUUGGAGAGUAAAUGUUCUGAGCGUGUACACAGAAGAUACUUUCAGAUGUUAAAAUGCUUAAAAGUUUUUGGAGGAAGGGGCCAUUGUCAGUGCUUUAAACAGCCAAAAUACCAGAACAGAUCCAGGAGCUCAGAACAAAACUUCAUCUGGUCUACAGUCUCGUUUUGGUCAGCGACUCACAGAGAAUGAAUGUCCUAGAUCAGAUACUCAUGAGAGUCACACUUGGAAAUUUAGGCAUCCAGGACUUCAGACAUUCUAAGCAGAGGACUCUGAGUCAUGUUCAUCUGAUCAAAUAUGUGAUUCAAACAUGAAUUUAAAAAAAAAGCACCAAAGGAUAUAGCUUGGCUUUACCUUUGAUUUCUGCUUUUAGAAGUUUUUCAGAUGGCUCUGCUGACCUUGGAACUCCCUUUGUACAAGUUCAACCCUGGAAAUGAAGUCAGAUGUGCAGUGCCCUGCCUGGCUGUGGUUGUAGUAAAAUUUUGUGAUGUUCCAGGGCCGGUUUAGUCAUCUUUGUCUUUGCAGUGCCCAGAGCUGUAUCUACUAUUUUAGAGUCAGACACAAACAAGUGUAUUCUCUGUCUAUAAAUGGCCAGUGGUAUUACAUGAACAACAGCUUGUGGUGAUUCACAUGAGGAUAAACUGGAUUUUUCUGCCAGAAUAAUUCACCUGGAGAGAUGACUGCUUCCAUUCACUUCCUUUCUUGGAAGCAGGCUGAGAAUAACAAACUGUUCCGAUAACAUCAGCCUAAUUCCAGUCAACAUAUUUCCUACUGAGAGGCAGGGCAGGCCCCACCCUGUUACAUGACAGGCAGUAAUUGGCCCUAGAAAUGUGACUCAUAGCUCUGACACUUGGCCUCAGAGGUAGGUGUCAGCAGCAGCCAGUUGUCACAAACCCCUGUUUGAAAGAGUGAUGCCAAGCCUUCUCUCCAGCAGUUCAGUGUUCACCUCUCACUCCUUGGGGCUCUGAAAAGCCUCAGUCUCAGCUGUGUGCUCCUGUUAGAUGGCUGCAGAAUUUCAAAUGAGUUUCCCUUUCUUAGUCUUGCUGCUGUUUCUCUUGCUGCAAACUAAACAUUCAGGGCAUCCGGGGUACUUCAUGGUGGUCAGUGUGCCCACAAAGAGAGGACAGACCUCAUUUUAGACCACCUCAGUGAUUUCUAAGCAUUUAUAUUUGUUGAACCAGACACUGUUGUAGCCUUAUCCUCUCUUCUUCCAGCUCUAUAAACACUAGGUCAUUAAAUGUUUAAUGGUUUUGGGUUUAUUGAAUGUUUAACUAUUUCACAAUAAAUGGAAAAUCAUUGAAAGGAAGAAAGGCAUUGUCUACAAAUAAUAUAAUUACAGUAUUAAUAACAAUAAGCUGUGACUACAUGGAUCUCAGCUUCUAAGUGUUAGACAAGAACAUUAGACAAAUAACUCUGGAUCUGACUGUUUGGCUUAUUAUCUUGUCUCCAGCAAUAUCUUACAGCAGAAAUCUAGGGUAAAGGACAGGUAGAGAGAGACAUUUCUGAAAACACCCUCUUCAUUUCCAACAAAUGAUAGCUCAUGUCUUCCCCAUUUAGAGGUGGUAUCACAUCAUUCCACAUUCAUCUCCGUUAUUGAGGCUAGUUAUUUUUUUGAGCCCAUGCAAACUCUUGGCAUGCAUAACAUUCUGUAGCAAGGGUUUCCAGUGCAGACAUGGUAUUUUGGAACCUGUCCCUUGUUUGUUUCAUCUGAGGACUGUGCUGGCUCACAACCAUAGGCUCAAUCCACCUACAGUGACCUUUAUCCCCUAAGAGCUGCACUGGAGUCCAAACCUGAGCCAUUACUCUGAAAUUUACCUGCACAUGGAGAUAUGGGCAUGAACCUGCUUUAAGGGUCCUAAAGGAUUUGUCCAAGAUUACAUGGAGAGGCACUGGAGAAACAGGAAAACAUCUCAAGAGGACUCUGAUGAAAGCACCCAAACUUUCCUUCAAAUGUCCUUCUCUCUGGCUUAGUAUCAAUCUUAGUGCUGUGAUUUGGGCUUGCCAGAUAAUCUACAACAGCUUGCUGGAUCCCAGAGCAUCUGAUCUUCUCUUUUGAGCCCAUGGAGAGCUAGGCUUCUGGCCAGCUAAGGAGAACAGUCCAGGCAGGCAGCCCUCUGGCCAAACUCCCUCUGGGUGUGCUAGCUUGGACAUUGAUAUUUCCCUGACACUAAGCUUUCCUCUUCAGCAUGAAUUGCUCAUUACUUGAAUUCCAUCAGGGAUUUCUUGUGUCAUGAAAGAGUGGAGAUUCUGCCUCAGCACACUGAGCAGGACUGACUGCUUUCUGUGGAUGAAGCUGUUGAUGUGUGUGUGUGUGCCUGUAUCUGCAGGACAUAGAUGUCUCAGUGUUUGCCUCUCAAUGGUGCCUCUGUUCUACAACCAUCUGUGUAUAAAGCUGCUAUUCUGCCAUGAACAAUGACUCAUACAGGAAAGUCUUGAAGAAUUAGGCAAGAACCGUGUUCAUCCUGAGGACUAUUGAAGACGAGGAUCCAAUCCCAUAAAUUCUUGGAAGAACUCAGCCUUAGUUUUCCCUUGACAGCUUUAAUCUUUAAAAUCUGCUCUUGCUGAUACAUAUUUACAAACAGCGGGUUGGCAGCAAACUGUUUCUGUCAGUGGGCAUCACACAUCCACUGCUUGCCUCUGCUCACUGUGACCAACUUCUCCUCACUCCAUUUUCCAAAGAGGAUUUUACUAGUGACUCUUCCACCUCCUGUAUUCUUCUGAGCCCCCACAGAUUAUUCUCUCCAGUCCCUUUUCUUAUAUUUCCAGGCUACUCUACUCCUCUGCUAACAAUACUGGGAGAAGGUAGGGUCACUGUUCCUGACCCCCUGCAAGCUUCACCUGGACCUGCCCAAAAACUGUGAAGGCUGUAGGGACUAUCUGGGUAUCAAAAAAUCACAACAAUCUCUGCUUCAAAUGUCUAGCCAGGUUUUGGUACUCAGGAAAGAGCUGAAAGGAAGGAAAUAUCCAGAGGAUCUUAUCAGACAGUCUCCUGUAGGCAGAAUGAAUGCAGAAGGAAGAGUUUCUGAAGAUCAACUGAGCUUCUCUGACUAGUGGGGAAGGUUCUGGUUUGUGGCAUCACUGUAGAAAAAAAAGAUUGCAGGGUUCUUAUAUUCCAGUGACCCAGAAAGGAAACUGUGUGAGAAACAAAGAUUAAGACGAUCCAGAAAGUUUAAAACAAAUGGUGACAUAUCCUCAAUAAUGUAAUCAUAAGAAAAUUCCAGGUAUAUAAACCAUACAUACAAAAAAAUACACACAGGUUUUCAAUUGGGCUAGAAUUUAAUUAGGAAUUUUAUUCUCAGAUUUUGAAAUUUCUCUAGGUACCAGGUCUUGAUUUUUCCAGCAAAUUGAUCAGUCCUCAAGCUGCAUAAUGCAACUUCCUUCCUGCUGGAUUAGUGAGUUCAGCUGAGUCAGUGAGUGCAUUGAAAUCCCAUCUCCUACUCCAAGCAGGGCUAACUUUCAAGCUGGCCAAAGUCACUCCAGGGUCUUGUCCACAUGUAUCCUGGAAAUCCCAUGGAGAUUCUACAACCUCCUUGGGCAGCACUCUCCUGGUAAACGAGGUGCUCCCUUUGUUGACAGAGGAUUUUUCUGGCUGGCAACAUUGCCUUUUGUCCUUUCACUGCGCACUUGCAGGGAAAGCUUGGAGCUUUGGAAUUCUUACCCCCUCCCCUUGCAGCAGCGUCUCUGCAGUGAGAUCCCCCAGCCUUCCCUAAUUCCCAUCUCCUCUCCUCACCCAGCACACUCUCCUGCAGGUCCUGGGGCUGUGCUGGAGCCUCUCCAGCGUGUCAGCAUCUCCCUUACAAUGGGCUGAGUGUGUUUGAAAACUGCAGAGGGUGUUGCAGAUGCAGCCUCCCCGGAGGCAGGCAGAAGGGAGUGAGCACAUCCCUGCACUUGCUGACCACUUGCUAAUGCCAUCCCGUGACUGGUGGGUGUUGCUGCUGCAGGGGAGCACUGCUGACACAGGUCCAGCUUGUUUUCCACGAGAAUCCCAAGGCCUUUACUGCAGGGCUGCACUCUACAGUCAAUCCCCACUCUGCCCUAAUACAUGGAGCUGUUUUGCCCCCA